GAGAAUGAUAAAUAUGUAGAGAAAGAAGAAUUAAUCUGGAGCCUCCAAAAUUAUCAAUCAAAGGGCCGAUUUUUUUUCUGGUUCUUUUCCUUAAUUACAGCCGAAAGGCUAUAUAUGUAAUUCAAUAUUUUGAUGCAGUCGCUAAUUAUGGAUUACAAAUCUUUAAUUAUCUUUUUAACUUUGGUAAGAUAUUAUCUUUCCAUAUCUUCUUAUUUUUUUAUUUUUUUUCGUCCAUUAUCUUUAAUUAUUAUUAACAAUUUCUUUCUCUCUCCAGUCUCUCCAUGUCAGUAAGAAAAAAUUUGUAUAUUUUAUUUAGCUGUUCGUAAUUUGUUUAUGCUUGUUCAAAAUAUUUUAGGCUUGUUCGAAAUGCUUUAUGUUAAAUAUUUUAUGUUAGUAAGAGAAAUUCAAAUAAUUUAUUUAGGUGUUCGUAAUUGUUUAAAGCAUGUUCAAAAUAUUUUAUGUUAAAAAAACAAAACAAAAAAAUCAGAUUUUACAGCAGAAACGGAAAUAAAAGUGAUUUGUCGAGAACAUAAAUGAACAGAACACAAUUUAUAAAUGAACAGAACACAAUUUCUAAAUGAACGGAUAUAUUCAGAUUUACUGGAAGCAUUAAUAUCCCCAAAAUUCCAAAAUUGAUCAUUCAAUUUGACGAAAAGAAAAUAACAGUGCAGAUUAAGGCCAAAGACUAGACAAUGGAGCUGCGUUUUCGAAAGACAUUCAAGGAACCGGAUAUUCUGGGCUUCAACAUCAACGAGGGUGAAGGUGAAGGCUCAUCUUCUUCUUUCUUGGGCAUUGACAUAAAUCGAAAAAAAAAACUGAGAACAUAAAUAGAGAAAAAAAAAUCAGAUUUCAUAGCAGAAACGAAAAUAAAAGCGAUUCGCCGAUAACAUAAAUGAACAGAACACAAUUUAUAAAUGAACAUAAUACAAUUUAUAAAUGAACAGAUAUAUUCAGAUUUAAUGAACACAUAAUAUCCCCAAAAUUCCAAAAUUGCUCAUUCAAUUUGACGAAAAAGAAAAUAGCAGUGAUGAUUCACCCUUGCUCAUAAAACACUAGUUUUAACAAAGAAGACUUUUUGCAAACAAGGAAAACCAAGAUUUACAGUAGUGUAUUUUGGACAUAGCUUUCGAAAGGGAGUGGGCUACUUCCCUGCUCUGGAAUCGAGGAGGACAACGCGACGACGAAGCUUCCAUCACGCGUCGGGGCUCGAAGAAUCGCUGAAGAUGGCGGACCUUCCCCUGGUAUCGAAGCUUUCUCAAGGGAGGAGAAGACCUCCGGCGCGUAGGCAUCGACGUCGCCAGAGAGAAGGGCGCAGCUUUGUCGGAUUUCGACAGAGACGGCGACAAUCUUCGAUUUGGGAGAAACUAGGGCUCGAUGUGGAAAGGAAGAAACUCGCCUGUGAAUUCGGAGGGGAACUUCAGAGAGAGAUUGAUGUGGACGAAGGAGAAGCGGCGAAGCGCCGACUCGCCGGAUUGCGGAGCGGCGGCGGCGGGCGCCUCGACGAAAGGCGGAGCUAGAGAGAGAGAGAGAGAGAGAUAUGGCAGAGUGGAAUUUUCAGAGAGAGAUUGAUGCGGAACAGAUAUAUUCUUCCAUUUUUUGUUAAUCUACAAAAGUUACUCAAAUACCCAUUAGUAAUUAAAUUGG
rnacentral:lncRNA from 1 species